GAAAUCAGGCACUCUGUCAGUGUCCGAGUUGUAAUUUGGAGAGGCAUCUGCAUGAGGGGACCUGGCCUAUGUUCCUUGGAACAGGACGUCACAGAGGGUGAGAAUCCCGUUUGUGGCCGGAUCCACCCCUCUUGUCUGCAGCGUCUUCUACGAGUCGAGUUGUUUGGGAAUGCAGCUCAAAAUGGGUGGUAAAUUUCAUCUAAAGCUAAAUACUGGCGAGAGACCGAUAGCGCACAAGUAGAGUGAUCGAAAGAUGAAAAGCACUUUGAAAAUAGAGUCAAACAGCACGUGAAAUUGUUGAAAGGGAAGCGCUUGAGACCAGACUCAGCCAUUGACUAACAGCUGUCCAACUGGGCGGUGCACUUGUCCUUGGCUGGGCCAGUAUCAGUUGGGACGGCGGGACAAAGGCUGGGGGAAUGUGACUCCCAUUGUGGAGUGUUAUAGCCCCUGGUGCAAUGCCGCCUGCCC
rnacentral:rRNA from 1 species